rnacentral:rRNA from 1 species
AGAGUGAACGCUGGCGGCAGGCCUAACACAUGCAAGUCGAACGCACCGCAAGGUGAGUGGCAGACGGGUGAGUAACACGUGGGAAUUUUCCCUUUAGUUCAGGAUAGCCCCGGGAAACUGGGAUUAAUACUGGAUAUUAUCUACGGAUGAAAGAUUUAUCGCUAAAGGAUAAGCCCGCGUAAGAUUAGCUAGUUGGUGAGGUAAUGGCUCACCAAGGCUAUGAUCUUUAGCUGGUCUGAGAGGAUGAUCAGCCACACUGGAACUGAGACACGGUCCAGACUCCUACGGGAGGCAGCAGUGAGGAAUAUUGGACAAUGGGCGCAAGCCUGAUCCAGCCAUGCCGCGUGAGUGAUGAAGGCCUUAGGGUUGUAAACUCUUUAGUGGGAAAUAAUGAUGGUACCACAGAAAAGCUACCGGCUAACUUCGCGCCAGCAGCCGC